CCUACGGGUGGCUGCAGUGGGGAAUCUUGCGCAAUGGCCGAAAGGCUGACGCAGCGACGCCGCGUGUGGGAUGACGGUCUUCGGAUUGUAAACCACUGUCGGGAGGGACGAAGUUCUGAAGGUACCGCCAAAGGAAGCACCGGCUAACGCUGUGCCAGCAGCCGCGGGAAUACAGAGGGGGCGAGCGGUGUCCGGAAUCACUGGGCGUAAAGGGCGCGUAGGCGGCCUGGUAAGUCGGGGGUGAAACGCUGCGGCUCAACCGCAGCACUGCCUUCGAGACUGUCAGGCUGGAGCACGGUAGAGGCUGUUGGAAUUCCCGGUUUAGCGGUGGAAUGCGUAGAGAUCGGGAAGAACAUCGGUGGCGAAGGCGGCCAGCUGGGCCGUUGCUGACGCUGAGGCGCGACAGCGUGGGGAGCAAACAGGAUUAGAUACCCUAGUAGUC
rnacentral:rRNA from 1 species